rnacentral:rRNA from 1 species
CCUACGGGAGGCAGCAGUAGGGAAUCUUUCACAAUGGGCGAAAGCCUGAUGGAGCAACGCCGCGUGCAGGAUGAAGGCCUUCGGGUUGUAAACUGCUUUUAUAAGCGAGAAAUAUGAUGGUAACUUAUGAAUAAGGAUCGGCUAACUACGUGCCAGCAGCCGCGGUCAUACGUAGGAUCCGAGCAUUAUCCGGAGUGACUGGGUGUAAAGAGUUGCGUAGGUGGCAUAAUAAGUAGCUAGUGAAAUCUGGUGGCUCAACCAUUCAGACUAUUAGCUAAACUGUUAAGCUCGAGAGCGUGAGGGGUAACUGGAAUUGCUGGUGUAGGAGUGAAAUCCGUAGAUAUUAGAAGGAACACCAGUAGCGUAGGCAGGUUACUGGGACGGUUCUGACGCUAAGGCACGAAAGCGUAGGGAGCAAACGGGAUUAGAUACCCCAGUAGUC